GCCGGCGUAGCUCAGUGGCAGAGCGAGGGACUCAUAAGCCCUAGGUCGCAGGUUCGAUCCCUGCCGCCGGCACCA
rnacentral:tRNA from 4 species